rnacentral:miRNA from 1 species
GAGAGAGAGAGGGAGAGAGAGAGAGAGAGAGAGAGAGAGAGAGAGAGAAAAGAAGAAGAAGAAGAAGAAGAAGAAGAGAGAAGAGAGAAAGAAGAAAAAGUCGUCUUCUGUUUUGUUUUUUUGUGGGUUAUAACUCUCUCUCUCUCUCUCUCUCUCUCUCUCUCUCUCUCUUCUCUCUCCUCUCUCUCUUUCUU